rnacentral:rRNA from 1 species
AUCCUGGCUCAGGAUGAACGCUGGCGGCGUGCCUAACACAUGCAAGUCGAACGAAGCACUUUUAUUACGAUUUCUUCGGAAUGACGAUUUGGUGACUGAGUGGCGGACGGGUGAGUAACGCGUGGAUAACCUGCCCCGUACAGGGGAUAACAGUUAGAAAUGACUGCUAAUACCGCAUAAGCGCACAGUAUCGCAUGAUACGGUGUGAAAAACUCCGGUGGUAUGGGGAUGGAUCCGCGUCUGAUUAGCCAGUUGGCGGGGUAGAGGCCCACCAAAGCGACGAUCAGUAGCCGACCUGAGAGGGUGACCGGCCACAUUGGGACUGAGACACGGCCCAAACUCCUACGGGAGGCAGCAGUGGGGAAUAUUGCACAAUGGGGGAAACCCUGAUGCAGCGACGCCGCGUGAGCGAAGAAGUAUUUCGGUAUGUAAAGCUCUAUCAGCAGGGAAGAAGAAAGUGACGGUACCUGACUAAGAAGCUCCGGCUAAAUACGUGCC